rnacentral:ncRNA from 1 species
AGGCAUCGGGGGCGCAACGCCCUCGACCUAUUCUCAAACUUUAAAUAGGUAGGACGGUGCGGCUGCUUUGUUGAGCCGCACCAGGGAAUCGAGAGCUCCAAGUGGGCCAUUUUUGGUAAGCAGAACUGGCGAUGCGGGAUGAACCGGAAGCCGGGGUUACGGUGCCCAACUGCGCGCUAACCUAGAUCCCACAAAGGGGUGUUGGUCGAUUAAAGACAGCAGGACGGUGGUCAUGGAAGUCGAAAUCCGCUAAGGAGUGUGUAAACAACUCACCUGCCGAAUCAACUAGCCCCGAAAAGUGGAUGGCGCUAAAGCGCGCGACCUAUAGGCGGGCCGUCGGGGCAAGAGCCAGGCCCCCGAUGAGUAGGAGGGCGCGGCGGUCGCUGCAAAACCCCUGGGCGUGAGCCCGGGCGGAGCGGCCGUCGGUGCGGAUCUUGGUGGUAGUAGCAAAUAUUUCAAAUGAGAACUUUUGAAGGCCCGAAGAGGGGAAAAGGUUCCAUGUGAAACGGCACUUGCACAUGGGUUAGUCGAUCCUUAAGGGUCGGGGGAAGCCCGACAGACAGCGUGUUCAGCGCGUGCUCCCAAAGGAAAUCAGGUUUAAAAUUCCUGAACCGGGACGCGGCGGCUGACGGCAACGUUAGGGAGUCCGGAGACGUCGGCGGGGGCCUCGGGAAGAGUUAUCUUUUUCUGUUUUAACAGCCUACCCACCCUGGAAACGGCUCAGCCGGAGGUAGGGUCCAGCGGCUGGAAGAGCCCCGCCGUCGCGUGGUGUCCGGUAGACCAUAUCGUAUCUUCAAAUCCACAUCUUUGAGUUGAGCCUCUUCGAAAGUCGUACCCCGAUAGAACCGUAUUCCUAAACACAGCUCCCUCCAGAUUCGCCUUCCCAAAAUUCACCCUGU